rnacentral:rRNA from 1 species
AUGAAAGUGAAAAUUUUGCAUGAAAGUAUUAGUGAGUACGACAUACUGUUCACAUUGGUCGUGGAGGAAGUCGGUGAUGCCUACAUUCUUAGCCAAAUAAUAGAAAUCCUCAUAAAUUCUGGCUGCCUCCAAGAAUGUAUCACUUGGCCAUUCACACGGUCGGACCUCCGUGGUGCGAGGAAGGUUGUACUUGGGAUUUUCAUUCACCUUUUCCUUCGAACCCCGGAUCGAGGAGCCUCUCAACAAUCUCCUCAACAUUUUCUUCCUCUGAAAUUUUUAGUGACUCAAAAUAAAAGUGAACCAAACCCAACAAGAUUGAUAGCAACUACUCCCACAAGUGCCUAG